UGUCAAUGUUAAAUACCCACUGUAGCAGAGGUGUUUUCUUCAUUGGCUGUGUAGUGUGGACUGGUUUGUAACUUUAGGCUUUGGCUUCAGUUUUAAGAUAAUGUAAAACUAAGUAGAAAGAGCUGAAAGUGAUACAAGAAUAUAAGAAAACCAUAACUGCCUGGGUAUUAUCUUGAAAUCGUUUAGGCUAAGGAAAUAGGAAGAAAUUACUAGUAAACAGAAAAACAAGAAGACACAAAAGUGGGAAACACCAAAGAAGAAAGAUGAACAAGGACAUCAAAAGGGGCACAGCUGGGAAAGAAUGAUCCUGAUUUGUUCAGAUGUUGAUUAAAAAAUUUGAAUGCAGAAUAUCAGAUAUAUCAUCAUCAACUAAGAAGAGGAAAUCUGACCUUGGAAGCUGCCAAGUGUACAAUUCCUUGUGCUUAGUGUGUUGGCAAGAUACCAUGAUUGUGACCAGUUUGGCUGCACAUUGUAAGCUCAGACCAGAUGGUGAGACUCCGCUGCUGUGUGAAACAGACAGCAGAGCUUUCAGCAUUUGGCAUGGCUUACGCAGUAUCAUCAGAU
rnacentral:lncRNA from 14 species